rnacentral:rRNA from 1 species
CCUACGGGUGGCAGCAGUGGGGAAUAUUGGACAAUGGGGGAAACCCUGAACCAGCGACGCCGCGUGAGGGAAGAAGGAUUUAGGUAUGUAAAGCCCUUUUAGCAGGGAAGCAAAUGACGGUACCUGACGAAUAAGCACCGGCUAACUACGGGCCAGCAGCCGCGGUAAUACGUAGGGGGCAAGCGUUAUCCGGAUUUACUGGGUGUAAAGGGAGCGUAGGCGGGAUCGGAAGUCUGGAGUGAAAUGCUGGGGCUCAACCCCAGAACUGCUUUUGAAACUGUGAAUCUAGAGUGUAGGAGAGGUAAGCGGAAUUCCUGGUGUAGCGGUGAAAUGCGUAGAUAUCAAGAGGAAUACCGAUUGCGAAGGCGGCAUACUGGAAUAUAACUGACGCUCAGGCACGAAGGCGUGGGGAGCAAACAGGAUUAGAUACCCGAGUAGUC